rnacentral:rRNA from 1 species
UACGAAGGGGGCUAGCGUUGCUCGGAAUGACUGGGCGUAAAGGGCGCGUAGGCGGAUGGCACAGUCAGAUGUGAAAUUCCCGGGCUUAACCUGGGGGCUGCAUUUGAUACGUGUUGUCUUGAGUUCGGAAGAGGGUCGUGGAAUUCCCAGUGUAGAGGUGAAAUGCGUAGAGAUCGGAAAGAACACCAACGGCGAAAGCACUCUGCUGGGCCGACACUGACACUGAGAGACGAAAGCUAGGGGAGCGAAUGGG